rnacentral:rRNA from 2 species
UGACCUCGGAUCAGGUAGGAUUACCCGCUGAACUUAAGCAUAUCAAUAAGCGGAGGAAAAGAAACCAACAGGGAUUGCCCCAGUAACGGCGAGUGAAGCGGCAACAGCUCAGAUUUGGAAUCUGGCCUUCGGGCCCGAGUUGUAAUCUGGAGAGGAUGUUUCUGGCGCGGUGCCUUCCGAGUUCCCUGGAACGGGACGCCGGAGAGGGUGAGAGCCCCGUACGGUUGGACACCUAGCCUUUGUGAAGCUCCUUCGACGAGUCGAGUAGUUUGGGAAUGCUGCUCAAAAUGGGAGGUAAAUUUCUUCUAAAGCUAAAUAUUGGCCAGAGACCGAUAGCGCACAAGUAGAGUGAUCGAAAGAUGAAAAGCACUUUGAAAAGAGAGUUAAAAAGUACGUGAAAUUGUUGAAAGGGAAGCGCCCGUGGCCAGACUUGCGCUGCGCGGACCACCCAGCGUUCUCGCUGGUGCACUCCGCGCGGCGCAGGCCAGCAUCGGUUUUCCUAGGGGGAUAAAGGUCGCGGGAACGUAGCUCCUCUGGGAGUGUUAUAGCCCGUGGCGUCAUGCCCCUGGGGGGACCGAGGACCGCGCUUCGGCAAGGAUGCUGGCGUAAUGGCCACCGGCGACCCGU